UGCAAGUAUUUCCGGUGAUGUCAUUGAUGAUAUGACGUCAUACAUACAUUCGCUUGAAUACUAAUUACUUCCGUUAUUGUAUGGGGGGGGUUACCUACUCCUAAGCGAAUUACUAAGGGAUCCAGAGAAGGCGCGAUCGGAGUUGGGCCUUUUAUUUGGGGCAUUUUCGCUAAUUCGUGUUCGCCUUGGAUCUGAUAAAAGCAUUGCUGUUUUGGGCCUUACCUACAAUAAAGUUAUGGUCCACAAACCGCAACAUGGGAUGCUGCUUAUGGUGUGCAACAAGGCUGAUGCCUUAAGAGAGUUUGAAAACUGUUUAGUUAAGGUAAGCAGAAAUUUCGGUUUAGUUAAAGGGGAAGUCAAGUCCGUAAUGUAAACAAACGGUUUGUUUACAUUUUGAACUGCUGUAUUUUUUAAAAUAUGAUGUACUGUCUGAAUAUCUAACACCAUUUUGGUUCGUUAUGCUUCUACAUGAAUAUGAAAUAGUGUUUGUGUUCAGAAAAAUUCGAAACAUUCAAAAUUUGGGCAAUGUUUACCUCAGAGGGCCCUCUAUUGUUAUGCGCAGAACCGAUGCGCAGAACGGACUUGACUUCCCCUUUAAUUAAAAUUCGUAUUUUACAUAUCUUUUUUUUUGUUUUUAGUUUGGUACUUACUAUCCAGCUCUGGUUAUGCACGAACCGAACCAUGUGGAUCUAAGGAAGGCUUAUGAGGCAGCCGGGAUUCUCAACAAAGAUGAUUUAUCUUUGGCUCUAAGCAACAAACAGUACUACCCGGAAGUAAAUCAAAUGAAUGACUUUAUGGGCAAACGCAUAGAAAAACCCUUGGCGGGGAUGAUCAACGGCGCCGUUAAAUGGACAUCUGGGAAAGCUGGAUCAGCACAGGUUUUAACCGCUUUUAGUAAGUAAAAAAGUGUGUCUUAAGGGACGGACUAUUAUUUUUUUAGGAUGGACAUUUUGUCAAGGCAAACAAUUUUGUUUCGUGUUGUUGUCGUUGCAAACAAUUUUUUUGCCCCUGCUUUUUGAUUUUUGUCAAUCUGAUUGCUGUGGAUUUCCUGAUUAUAAAUUGAUUUAAAAAACUCAUUAAUAAUUCAGGAGCAAAACGCAAAGAAAAAUCAUAAGCGUGUCGUGGUUUUAUAUGUGAUAAAAAAUCAUGUUAAUUUACAUAAACUUUAGCUUUGAUUUCUCGGUUUAGACAAAGUUUAUUUUAAAAAUUACUUCGCCAAUGAACUCGUAUAAGACGAGUCGUUUUUUAAGCCAUUUAAAGCACUUGCACUCCGCUACGCGUCGUGUUUUAUUUGUGAUAAAACACUCCUACGCGUGCUUUAAAUAGUACAUAUAAAGUUUAAUUUCUGCCCGAUUACACUAUCGCAUGUGUGAACAAGAUGUGGUGUUGUCAGAAGUAUAAAUUUAAUAUGUAAACAGACAUUUAAUACUUUUUUUUGUAUAUUGGCAGGGACGCCGGAACUGGG